AUCCAGCUGGCGAGUCCGAAAUAGGACGGAACGCUCGUCCUGGGU
rfam:Schistosoma mansoni strain Puerto Rico chromosome 6, complete genome